AAAUUGAAGAGUUUGAUCAUGGCUCAGAUUGAACGCUGGCGGCAGGCCUAACACAUGCAAGUCGAACGGUAACAGAAAGCAGCUUGCUGCUUUGCUGACGAGUGGCGGACGGGUGAGUAAUGUCUGGGAAACUGCCUGAUGGAG
rnacentral:rRNA from 1 species